UCAAAAGUUUGUCAAAUUUGGGUGUCAAAGUAUCAUUAUCCAAUGACAAAAUUGUACUAUUGGAAACUUUUUAAUUACACUAGAUUAUUUUCGUUUCAGGCUCAUCUUUCUUUCUCGCUCUCGCCGUAGUGGGAAGACCAUCACAGAUCUUCGACGCCUCGUCUCCUACGUUCUUGGCCUCUACAAAAUCUCCGACGAGAUCCUCGUCAACACCGUCGACAACAAGCAGCGGAUCCCUCCGUGACAGUCCUCAAGGUUACCAUUGAUGCCAAGUAGAUCACCAUAUUCGUCUUCAACAACGACGAUGCCAUACCCGUCGAGAUCCCCAAACUCAUUUACGGCCACUUCCUCACUAACAGCAGCUAUGACCACAAGGUCAAGAAGACCUCCGGUGGACGCAACGGCUUCAGUGCGAAGCUCACCAACAUCUUCUCCACCAAGUUCAUCAUCAAAAUCAGUGCGAAGCUCACCAAAAUCUUCUCCACCAAGUCCAUCAUCAAAAUCGCCGAUGGAAAGCACAAAAAGAAUCCUAGGGUUUUCCACCUACAGCUCCCUCCCACACACCACCGCUCCCUUCCAUCUCAAGGCUUUCUCUACCUCCGUCACCGAUAAGUCCUUCGUUUGCACAGUCGACGAACUCCGUUAUGUCUCCCUUUCAAAUUUUGAUUAGAAACUCGCUCUCUGGAACUAUAACCCUUCACUUCUAGACACAAUUUUGUUUGAUAGGCACCUCCAAGGAAUCAUCCUCUGUUGAUCAACUGUUUAAGAUGAUUGGCAACCUGGACAAAAGUUUUGAAGGUGAAUUAAUGUUAUGUAUCCAGUUAUUUUAUGUUUUCCUUUCAUCUAACUGUUACAAGAUAUUCCAAGAAUUGCUAAAGUAUUUUGAUACAUUGUUUCAAUUUCUGAGCUGCAUACAUGAAGCUUAAGGAGUAACAAACUACGGGAAAUUCUAUCAUGCAAUAAGAGUUGCUUAUCCUGAUAUCCAAUUUAUCUCAAACUUAGAUGGUUCUUCUCGGGCUUUAGAUCAUCCAGCUGAUAUUAGUCAUGGCAAAACCUUCUGCUGGGAUUCAGUUUCCUACUAUUCCUGUCGACAACAAGGCACAUUGUAAGAUUCUAUAUCUCAAUAAACAUUUGUGAUUAUCUAUUAGUUUAUAAUAUCUAUAUUAAUUGUAAUGGAUGCAGGGGAGAUGCUGGUUUCUCAAGUCAAAUUUGCAUUUGUAUCUGGAUUAGCAAUAACCAUUUUAUUCAUACCAUAUAGAAAUGUCACUUAGAUUUUUUAAAUUACUGUUUGGUGACAUGUUCAAAGUUCAACUUAAACAUUUCCUCGGUGUUAUAAUUUGGUCAAAUAUAAUUGUUCUCUCAUUCAUUUGUACCAGUUAGUUUAGUCUUUCCUUUUAUUUCUCUUAAAAUUUGCACCUGGUUUUGGGAUUGAUGCCACAGUGUAAUCUUUAUUUAUUGUUGCAGGUAGAAGAUGCUCGAAUAUCUGUUUUGUAAAUUCAAUAUCCAAAAUGGCCUAUAGAUAAUGUAGUACUUGUUAGGGUAACACUUUGAUUUGGUCCUUUUUCUUGCAGGAAGCUUAAAAAGUUAACGUAAAACAUGUAGCAUUGGAGAUUGGCAUUUCACCAUAUACAUUAACUGCAAAUACAAAUGAAGCUUAUACGACCCUUGAUGUCUGACAUAAAAUAGUCAAUUGGCUAAAAGACCAUGUAUAUUCUAGUGCAUUUUAGAAGGGUUUAAAGGUCUAAUGAAAGUGGAAAAAUGGGUGAUAAGAGACUGGUUCGAGUUAUUGACAUGGCUGCAUUUGAGCUUGAUCUACUAGAAGAAUAUGAUUCACACUUUAAGAAGCUGAGUCUAGGUGAUAAAUUGCCUAUCAAAUUCUUCAAGUGAUUAAUUGUUAGAAAGACAAGUUAUUGAAUUAUAGACAAUGUAAUUUUUAAUUUUUUAAGUUGGAUUACAAACAAUGUAAUUUUCAAUUUCUAUGUAUAAUUGUUUCUAGAUGA